rnacentral:rRNA from 1 species
AACGAACGCUGGCGGCAUGCCUAACACAUGCAAGUCGAACGCCCUGGGCAACCAGGGAGUGGCGGACGGGUGAGUAACGCGUGGGGACCUGCCUCGAAGUUCGGAAUAACCGCGGGAAACUGCGGCUAAUACCGGAUGUGGCCUGAGGGCCAAAGGGGAAACUCGCUUCGAGAGGGGCCCGCGUCCGAUUAGCUAGUUGGUGAGGUAACGGCUCACCAAGGCGACGAUCGGUAGCUGGUCUGAGAGGAUGAGCAGCCACACUGGGACUGAGACACGGCCCAGACUCCUACGGGAGGCAGCAGUGGGGAAUAUUGGACAAUGGGGGCAACCCUGAUCCAGCAAUGCCGCGUGAGUGAGGAAGGCCUUCGGGUUGUAAAGCUCUUUCGGCGGGGACGAUGAUGACGGUACCCGCAGAAGAAGCCCCGGCUAACUUCGUGCCAUCAGCCGCCGUAAGAC